UACGGGGGGAGCAAGCGUUGUUCGGAUUUACUGGGCGUAAAGGGCGCGUAGGCGGCCACUGCAAGUCAGUUGUGAAAUCUCCGGGCUUAACUCGGAAAGGUCAACUGAUACUGUGCGACUAGAGUGCGGAAGGGGCAACUGGAAUUCUCGGUGUAGCGGUGAAAUGCGUAGAUAUCGAGAGGAACACCUGCGGCGAAGGCGGGUUGCUGGGCCGACACUGACGCUGAUGCGCGAAAGCCAGGGGAGCGAACGGG
rnacentral:rRNA from 1 species